UGCCAUGAAAGCUGCAGCAAUUACUACAGCUGGGAGUUAGUGUAAAGACUAAAGAUGACAUCCUCUAGCAUGGAGCUUUAUAAAGGUAGGCAUCCAAACUGACCUGCUGCGGGGAUGGAAUGUUCUUUUUUGUUUGAAGACGUCCUUCUUGGGAGAGUUUCAAACCUCUUUCCAUUUGCUACUGUGGACCAUGUCUAGACUUGAAAAACCUGCUUGCAAGCAUCUGUGGUCAUGAAACACAGAAAGACUACUAGGCUCUGUUCAGCUAUUUUUGCUUCUCUGGAGUCCAAGGACUUAACCUCAUCAGAUAGAGAGGAAAGAGCAGGAUUCUGCAAAAUCCACUUUAUUUGCAAAUGCAUACAAAGGAGAUCAGUCAAGCACAGCAGAAGAAAGUAUUACUUGGAUGCCAACUGUCAUGGAUUCUCGUAUUUGCCUGCUGAAACAAUAAAAAUACAACACUUGGGUGAAA